UACGUAGGGUGCGAGCGUUUGUCCGGAAUUAUUGGGCGUAAAGAGCUUGUAGGCGGUUUGUCGCGUCUGCCGUGAAAAUUCGAGGCUCAACCUCGAACUUGCGGUGGGUACGGGCAGACUAGAGUGUGGUAGGGGAGACUGGAAUUCCUGGUGUAGCGGUGAAAUGCGCAGAUAUCAGGAGGAGCACCGAUGGCGAAGGCAGGUCUCUGGGCCACUACUGACGCUGAGAAGCGAAAGCAUGGGGAGCGAACAGG
rnacentral:rRNA from 1 species